rnacentral:rRNA from 1 species
AUUGAACGCUGGCGGAAUGCUUUACACAUGCAAGUCGAACGGCAGCACGGACUUCGGUCUGGUGGCGAGUGGCGAACGGGUGAGUAAUGUAUCGGAACGUGCCCAGGCGUGGGGGAUAACGUAGUGAAAAUUACGCUAAUACCGCAUACGAUCUAUGGAUGAAAGCGGGGGAUCGGAAGACCUCGCGCGAUUGGAGCGGCCGAUAUCAGAUUAGGUAGUUGGUGGGGUAAAGGCCCACCAAGCCAACGAUCUGUAGCUGGUCUGAGAGGACGACCAGCCACACUGGAACUGAGACACGGUCCAGACUCCUACGGGAGGCAGCAGUGGGGAAUUUUGGACAAUGGGCGAAAGCCUGAUCCAGCCAUUCCGCGUGCAGGAUGAAGGCCCUCGGGUUGUAAGCUGCUUUUGUACAGAACGAAAAGGUUUCUACUAAUACUAGGAGCUCAUGACGGUACUGUAAGAAUAAGCACCGGCUAACUACGUGCCAGCCGCCGCCGUAA